rnacentral:rRNA from 1 species
UACGGAGGGGGCUAGCGUUGUUCGGAAUUACUGGGCGUAAAGAGCUCGUAGGUGGUUUGUCGCGUUGUUCGUGAAAUCUCACGGCUUAACUGUGAGCGUGCGGGCGAUACGGGCAGACUAGAGUACUGCAGGGGAGACUGGAAUUCCCGGUGUAGUGGUGGAAUGCGUAGAUAUCGGGAGGAACACCAGUGGCGAAGGCGGUUGCCUGGAGCUUUGCUGACGCUGAGGCGCGAAAGCGUGGGGAGCGAUCCGG